CAUUGUAUCAACCAGUCCUGUAACGGCCAGAGAAGUAACUUUAAAUAAAAUUCAUCGGGUUACUCAUGGUCUGUCAAACACGCAGCGGGAACAUGUUAGCGGGAUGAUGCAGUCUACGCCAUUUCGAGAUACUGAUGGUCAAAAACAAGCUAACGGUGAUAAAGAUUCGCUUACAUGUGUAUCCGAGUCUUCUUCUAGUAAACCACAAUGCCGGUCAACUGAGAGGCAACAUUUAGAGUCUAGCAGGAUGAAGUGGCCUUUGAUUUUUUCAAAAAAAGAUGAUCAAAACAGAGUGACAAAAGUUAAAGGCUGCAGUGUUUUGAAGAUGGAUACUGAUACCAGAAAACCCACCAGAAAGAAGAGUUUUAUAAAUUGUAAAGAUCCGAUUACCGAGUGGACUUGUCGAGAUUCGCUUACAUGUGUAUCCGAUGCUUCUUCUAGUAAACCACAACGCUGGUCAACUGAGAGGCAACAUCUAGAGUCUAGCAGGACGAAGCGGCCUUUGAUUUUUUUGAAAAAAGAUAAUAAAAACAGUGUGACAAAAGUUAAAAGUUGUGUUUUGAAGAUGGAUACUGCUAUCAGAAAACCCGUCAGAAAUAAGGGUUUUACAAAUGAUAAACCAGCGUGUAAAGAUCCGAUUACUGAGUGGACAUGUCGAGAAAACAGAUCUUCUAUAGAAUCAACAAAACAGUCCAAAGAACCCAGCAGAAAGAAGAGUUUUUCAAAUGAUAAACCAACGUGUGAAGAUCUGAUUACUGGUUAGACAUGUCAAGAAAACAAAUCUAUAGAAUCAAGAAAGCAGUCCAUAGACAGAUUCUUCUUCUAGUAAACCACAACACCGGUCAAAUGAGAGGCAACAUCUAGAGUCUAGCAGGACGAAGCGGCCUUUGAUUUUUUCGAAAGAUGAUCAAAACAGUGUGACAAAAGUUAAAAGUUGUAGUGUUUUGAAGAUGGAUACUGGUAUCAGGAAACCCGGCAGACAGAAUAGUUUUUCAAAUGAUAAACCAACGUGUAAAGAUCCGAUUACUGAGUGGACAUGUCGAAAAAACAGAUCUUCUAUAGAAUCAAGAAAGCAGUCCAAAGAUGAUGCUGCUGGUCAAAAAAUUGUUAGACAUCUACUAACAGACGACGAUUUGUUUCAAGAACUGGACAAACUCGAGGAUGCAAUCAGAAAGAUUUUGUGAUUAAUACCCGAUAGAACAGAAAUUAUUAAUUGAUUUUUUGGGACUAUAACAGAACCUUGUCAAUGAUCCUUUUUAUUUUGUCAUAAUAAUAUAAGUAUGCAAUUGUCUUCAUUGGGUUAUCAUUUCUUUCUUCCAGAUUCCAUUGAUAAAUGUGAAAACUUCAAUUUCAAUUAACAUCUCUUGUUGAA